AGCGAACGCUGGCGGCAGGCUUAACACAUGCAAGUCGAGCGGGCCCUUCGGGGUCAGCGGCAGACGGGUGAGUAACGCGUGGGAACGUGCCCUUUGGAUCGGAAUAACCCUGGGAGACUAGGGCUAAUACCGGAUACGCCCUUACGGGGAAAGGUUUACCGCCGAAGGAUCGGCCCGCGUCUGAUUAGCUUGUUGGUGAGGUAACGGCUCACCAAGGCGACGAUCAGUAGCUGGUCUGAGAGGAUGAUCAGCCACACUGGGACUGAGACACGGCCCAGACUCCUACGGGAGGCAGCAGUGGGGAAUAUUGGACAAUGGGGGCAACCCUGAUCCAGCCAUGCCGCGUGAGUGAUGACGGCCUUAGGGUUGUAAAGCUCUUUUACCCGGGACGAUAAUGACGGUACCGGGUGAAUAAGCCCCGGCUAACUUCGUGCCAGCCGCCGCAGUAA
rnacentral:rRNA from 1 species